rnacentral:rRNA from 1 species
GUCCGCACGGUAACGAUGGAUGCCCGCUGUUGGUCUGAACAGGUCAGCGGCCAAGCGAAAGCAUUAAGCAUCCCACCUGGGAGUACGCCGGCAACGGUGAAACUCAAAGGAAUUGACGGGGCCCGCACAAGCGGAGGAACAUGUGGUUUAAUUCGAUGAUACGCGAGGAACCUUACCCGGGCUUGAAUUGCAGAGGAAGGAUUUGGAGACAAUGACGCCCUUCGGGUCGUCUGUGAAGGUGCUGCAUGGUUGUCGU